UUAUACAGAGAAACCCUGUCUCGAAAAACCAAAAGGUCUAAUCUCAGAAGUUAAGCAGGGUUGAACCUGGUUUGUACUUGGAUGGGAAACUGCCUGGGAAUAUCAGGUGCUGUAGGCU
rnacentral:rRNA from 1 species